AUUGAACGCUGGCGGCAGGCCUAACACAUGCAAGUCGAGCGUGAAAGGGCUUCGGCCUGAGUAAAGCGGCGGACGGGUGAGUAACACGUAGGAAUCUACCUAGCAGUGGGGGAUAACGGUCCGAAAGGAACGCUAAUACCGCAUACGUUCUGAGGAAGAAAGCAGGGGAUCGCAAGACCUUGCGCUAUUAGAUGAGCCUGCGUCCGAUUAGCUAGUUGGUGGGGUAAAGGCCUACCAAGGCGACGAUCGGUAACUGGUCUGAGAGGAUGAUCAGUCACACUGGAACUGAGACACGGUCCAGACUCCUACGGGAGGCAGCAGUGGGGAAUAUUGGACAAUGGGCGCAAGCCUGAUCCAGCCAUGCCGCGUGUGUGAAGAAGGCCUUCGGGUUGUAAAGCACUUUAAGCGGGGAGGAAGGCUCGAUAGCUAAUAUCUAUCGGGAUUGACGUUACCCGCAGAAUAAGCACCGGCAAACUUCGUGCCAGCCGCCGCGGUAA
rnacentral:rRNA from 1 species